CCUAUAUUGGAUUAGCUAGUUGGUAGGGUAAAGGCUACCAAGGCGACGAUCCAUAGCUGGUUUGAGAGAAUGAUCAGCCACACUGGGACUGAGACACGGCCCAG
rnacentral:rRNA from 1 species